CCAUCAUUUAUCUUAUUUUUCUCUCAAAUAAUAUAAUAUUUAUAUUACUUUACCUUACUUUACUUUAAAAAAAACCUUACCUUACCUAGUUACACUCUCUUUCAAAUAAAGUGCUCAGGAAUAUUAAGCUUGAGGUGUUUGAUUAUUGUCCCCUCUAGAGUUAGAGUAUGAUUGUGUGCAGCUCCCCUCUACUCUAACAGCUUGUUUGGAAAGAAGUUUUUGAAGGUAAGAGAUGAAUUUUUACUUGCUUGUUUGGAAGGAAAGUUUUCUUAAAGAGAUAAGGUUUUUGAAGGUUUUAAAACCUUCAAA
rnacentral:misc_RNA from 1 species